rnacentral:rRNA from 1 species
GAGUUUGAUCCUGGCUCAGAUCGAACGCUGGCGGCAUGCCUUACACAUGCAAGUCGAACGGCAGCAUGAUCUAGCUUGCUAGAUUGAUGGCGAGUGGCGAACGGGUGAGUAAUACAUCGGAACGUGCCCUGUAGUGGGGGAUAACUAGUCGAAAGAUUAGCUAAUACCGCAUACGACCUGAGGGUGAAAGUGGGGGACCGCAAGGCCUCAUGCUAUAGGAGCGGCCGAUGUCUGAUUAGCUAGUUGGUGGGGUAAAGGCCCACCAAGGCGACGAUCAGUAGCUGGUCUGAGAGGACGAUCAGCCACACUGGGACUGAGACACGGCCCAGACUCCUACGGGAGGCAGCAGUGGGGAAUUUUGGACAAUGGGCGAAAGCCUGAUCCAGCAAUGCCGCGUGUGUGAAGAAGGCC